CAUGGGCAUUUAAACAGUGCAGUCACAUGGCCAGAGUUGCUCAUUAUCAAAUUAAGGACACCGCCUGUGAGAAAUAACUUUGGCAGCACAAUUUUCUGUCCUAGUGCAUGGAGGAUGUUGGCUCUACUAUAAGGAACAAUAAUAAUAACUAUGAGGAUGAUGUACUGAAUUUUAGCUCAUUUUAAGGGAAAAUCUCCAUUUUGCUCUAAAUGGGCGCCUUUUAUUCUGGCUGCUGUCCUAUUCAUGAAACUACUGAGGAGAAAGAUUGUAUAUUAAGGUCCAGUAUGUCCAGUGGCAGUGAGACAGCCGUGGCUCAUGAGCUGCAGGACAGCAGAUCUGGACCUGAGAAGGAGGUGAGGACCUGGAGCAGUGCUCAAACCUCCAUCUCCACUACUGAGGGGGAAUCAGAUGCUCAAUUACAUGCAUUCAUCAAGAUGAGGAACAAAGUGGACAAAGAUACUGAGGAAUGGGAGAAACUGAACUAUGAUAUUCACACUCUAAGGUGUGCUCGUAAAGAAGUUUGUAUACGUUGGAAGAAGAUCUUGCUUCAGCUGGGUUAUCAGAAGGAGGCAGACUCCUUACUGACAGUGAACAGACAGACGGUUCUGAGUGACUGGGAGAAUGUGGAGAAAGCCAGAGAACUUCUGCGAAUAGUGUCAGAGGAAACAGGCCUCUUCCCCCGUGGACUCAGCAACAGUGGAAGAUACAUCUUUGUCAUGGAUCGACUGGUGUCUCUGGACAGUGCUGAAGACUUUGUGCAGCUGGCCAAAGAGAAAUAUCCAAGAAUUGAGUCUUGAGAUGUAAAGGAACUUUUAAGUUUGGACUCGUUUGCUCUCUUUAAUGCUUCGUUGUUGUUUUGUCCUGAGGAAUAGAGACUAAAUGACAUUAUAUUCGGAAAUUCAGAAAGAUAUCAGCAAAUUACAGUAUACUGUAGUGUCAAAGGGCCCGACGCGGGAGUGGAGCCUCGGAACACGAUUACUACCGAGGGGGACCCAAUGCGCCAUUUCUGCCAAGGGUGGGCCCCGAGUCAACAUGCUGUUCAGGGGGUCCAGUAACUGUAGUGGCGCUCCUGGGUAAGGGCAUUAAUUGUGGUGUAGACACUCUCUAAAACUCACUUGUAUCACUGUUAUUUACAUAAA